CCUUCUCCCUUCCCCUCCCCAUCCCUGCCCAAGGAGGAGGAUGAGGGUCAGUGCUUCUCCCCACGAGGCAGAGGUGGAGGGCUGGGGACAAGGACAGGCCAGCAGGACCUGCGGGGCUCCCUGGCACCCAGCGGGUCCCUGUGCGGGAAGGGUUGGCGGUGGCAUCUGGGGGACCCUGGGGCAGAUGUCCCCAGCCAGGGGCCGUGGGCAGGGGUGGGGAUGGUGCCACCGCACUGUGACCGGCCCUGUGCUGCUGGCCCUGGGAUGGGGCCUCCACCCAGCACUGUGCCAUGCCAAGCUGUGCCAUGCCUUGCCAUGCCAUGCCAUGCCGUGCCAUGCCGUGCCAUGCCGUGCCUUGCCAUGCCUUGCCAUGCCGUGCCAUGCUGUGCCAUGCCGUGCCAUGCCAUGCCAUGCCAUGCCGUGCCACACUCCUCCAAGCCAUACUGCACGGUGCCACGCCACGCUGUGCCACGCCAGGGUGCUCUGCGCCGUGCCGUGCCACGCUCACCCCUGCCACGCCGUGCCGCCCCACGCCGCGCUGAGCCGAGCCCUGCAGCCGGCAGGCCCCGCGGCGGUGGGGCCGGUGUUGCUCACCCGCUCCUCCCCUGCGUCUCAAGUCAAAACACGUCCCCACAGCCCGGGCGCAGCAGAGCCGCAGCGAGCGCCCGCGCCAGGAGCCCCGCCGCGCCGGCGCCCAGGUAAGGCCGAGCCCCGGCCCUGGCUGAGCCCCGCGCCCACCGGGGGUCCCGGCCCCUCUAACAUCCCCCAGCCAGCCCACCGAGCCCCCGGCCCUGCCUCAGUUUCCCUGGGUGUUCACCAGCGUGGCUCAUCCCACCAGGGAAACUGAGGCACGUUGUGAGCCCCCCCGGCUGCUCCUGUCCCACCCGCUCUGCCCCAAAGGAGGGGACCCCGGGUUUGGGGCUGGGGGCAGGCUCCCAAAUCCCGCGGCCACCCCCACCAUGGGAAAUGCCUGCAGCCCAGACGGGGAAGGAAUAAAAACUGGGAGAGGCACCCA
rnacentral:lncRNA from 1 species